CGCAUCUGUGCAUGCAGCAUAUCAAUAAGCGGAGGAAAAGAAACUAACAAGGAUUCCCCUAGUAACGGCGAGUGAAGCGGGAAGAGCUCAAAUUUGAAAUCUUAAAGGGUUUCCCUUUACGAAUUGUAGUUUAAAGAAGUGUUUUCUGUUGAGGUUUUGGUAAAAGUUCUUUGGAAUAGGACAUCAUAGAGGGUGAGAAUCCUGUAUUUGACCUUUACUUUCAACUUAUGUGAUACACUUUCAAAGAGUCGGAUUGUUUGGGAAUGCAGUCCAAAAUGGGUGGUAAAUUUCAUCUAAAGCUAAAUAUUGGCGAGAGACCGAUAGCGAACAAGUACCGUGAGGGAAAGAUGAAAAGAACUUUGAAAAGAGAGUUAGACAGUACGUGAAAUUGUCAAAAGGGAAGCGUUUGACACCAGUGUUGUUUUUCUGAAAAUCAAUUAAAGAACUGUUUAUGCUAAGUUGUUUAGACUUUAUCAGCUAACUGUUUAGUUUUGAGCUUUUCUUUAAUGCACUUUUCAGUUAACAAGUCAACAUCAAUUUCUUUUGCUGUAAAAAAGCUUGAGGAAGGUGGCUUGAGAUUCGUCUUAAGUGUUUAUAGCCUCUUGCCUAUGCAGUCGGAGAGAUUGAGGUCUGCAGCGUAGAUCCUUCGGGGCUAAAUGCAUUUGUGCUAAGUUAUAGCAUUUUAUAGACAACUUGUUGACUAUGAUUUGUCUUGUAGCUUACUCGCUUAUGUUAUUUUACCUACGCUUAGGAUGUUGAAUCUGUGCGAGACUAC
rnacentral:rRNA from 1 species